rnacentral:rRNA from 1 species
AACGAACGCUGGCGGCAUGCCUUACACAUGCAAGUCGAACGGCAGCGCGGGAGCAAUCCUGGCGGCGAGUGGCGAACGGGUGAGUAAUACAUCGGAACGUGCCCAAUCGUGGGGGAUAACGCAGCGAAAGCUGUGCUAAUACCGCAUACGAUCUACGGAUGAAAGCAGGGGAUCGCAAGACCUUGCGCGAAUGGAGCGGCCGAGGGCAGAUUAGGUAGUUGGUGGGGUAAAGGCUCACCAAGCCUUCGAUCUGUAGCUGGUCUGAGAGGACGAGCAGACAGACGGGGAUUGAGACACGGCCCAGACUCCUACGGGAGGCAGCGGUGGGGAAUUUUGGACAAGGGGCGGAAGCCUGAUCCAGCCAUGCCGCGUGCAGGAUGAAGGGCUUCGGGUUGUAAACUGCUUUUGUACGGAACGAAACGGCUCUUUCUAAUAAAGAGGGCUAAUGACGGUACCGUAAGAAUAAGCACCGGCUAACUACGUGCCAGCAGCCGCGGUAACAC